AUUGAACGCUGGCGGCAUGCCUUACACAUGCAAGUCGAACGGCAGCACGGGGCAACCUGGUGGCGAGUGGCGAACGGGUGAGUAAUGUAUCGGAACGUGCCAUUGAGUGGGGGAUAACGUAGCGAAAGUUACGCUAAUACCGCAUAUACCCUGAGGGGGAAAGCAGGGGAUCGCAAGACCUUGUGCUCUUUGAGCGGCCGAUAUCAGAUUAGCUAGUUGGUGAGGUAAAGGCUCACCAAGGCGACGAUCUGUAGCGGGUCUGAGAGGAUGAUCCGCCACACUGGGACUGAGACACGGCCCAGACUCCUACGGGAGGCAGCAGUGGGGAAUUUUGGACAAUGGGCGCAAGCCUGAUCCAGCCAUGCCGCGUGAGUGAAGAAGGCCUUCGGGUUGUAAAGCUCUUUCGGCCGGGAAGAAAUCGUACAGGUUAAUACCCUGUGUGGAUGACGGUACCGGAAUAAGAAGCACCGGCUAACUACGUGCCAGCAGCCGCAGUAAAAC
rnacentral:rRNA from 1 species